rnacentral:lncRNA from 1 species
CGUCACCUUCCACAGGGCUGGACGGCGGCUUCCUCAGCUCCGGUGCAGGCAUCGGGGGCUCUGUGGGAGAGGUGCCAGACAAAAGGGUCCUCCAGGGGCCAGGACUGGGCAGGAGCGAGGCCCCAGCCCAGGGCCCUGCGGGUUGGGCUGGGGGAUGGCGGUUCCUGCCGCUCUGGGUCCCCUCCGUGGGAAGAGCCUCCGCCUCACUCCGUGGUCCUCACUGGGCCCUUAGCCCUGCUUGGCGGAUUUCCGCAUCUUCACUGGGCCCUGACGGGCACCAAAGCACAAGACCCCCACGAGAGUGGCGGCUGCAGUUCCCGCCGUCAGCGCCCGGUCUCCAGAGUCCAGCAGCUGGUCCCACAGCAUCACUGUGAGUGCAGGGCCGGAGCCCUCACCCCGCGCCUCCCACCACCUGCCCCUCCGCAGACUCCACACCGUGCACCCGGCCCUGCGGCUCCUGGCCUUCCUUGACCUCGCAGAUGCCCUGCUCUCUGGUCUGAGGGCUGUGAUUCCUCCCAGACGCCACCUCCUUCCAGGGAGAAUUCAGUUUCUUGUCCAUGGAGAAGCUGCUCCUGGGAAGGAGGACGCCAGGGGUCCCUUCAUCUCCUCCUCGGCCGCCUGGCAGGGCCUCCUGCGCGUCCCUGCUCCCUCCUGCCUCCACGGCUGUGAUGCAGACGCCUCCCACGUUUACCAAGUGUGCAGAACAGACUGGUGGUCUUUUUUUUAAAAUUAACUACAUUUUACUGAUCCCUGGGUGAAAGAUAAAACACAUAAGCAAAUCUCCUGUCACCUCCCUGAAAUGCAAAGCCGGCCGAUGCGUGCUCAGCAUGGACGUCCUUUCGGCCCCCGCAGUGGCCCCGGCUCCUCACUGCCCACCCCCCACAAGUUGGGGAGGUGGAGGCAGGGGCUUGGGUUGCAGCCUGUGAGGCCACAUCAGGCCUUCUCCAGCCCCCUGAGGCCACAGCUGCCCAGCCAGACAGGAAAAUCUGUCUGUGACUUUGGUCCUCACCUGGGCAGCUGGGGAUGGGACCCUCACUGGACAUCAGCUCUCCUCAGAGGUCUGCCCCCUCCCACAGUUGGCAGAGCCCUCCAUACACCUUUCAUCUCCCUGGCCACAUAUAAGGUCCAUGAGAACACAGGUUUUCUGCCUGGGAGGGAGCAGUUGUCCAGGAUGGGUUAUUAGAUGAAUGGGUGGGUGGAUAAGUGGGUGGGUGGUAGGUGUAUAGGUGAAUGCCUAGGUGGGUUGAUGGAUGGGUGGAUGGUGG